GACGAACGCUGGCGGCGUGCCUAAUACAUGCAAGUUGAGCGAUGAAGAUUGGUGCUUGCACCAAUUUGAAGAGCAGCGAACGGGUGAGUAACGCGUGGGGAAUCUGCCUUUGAGCGGGGGACAACAUUUGGAAACGAAUGCUAAUACCGCAUAACAACUUUAAACAUAAGUUUUAAGUUUGAAAGAUGCAAUUGCAUCACUCAAAGAUGAUCCCGCGUUGUAUUAGCUAGUUGGUGAGGUAAAGGCUCACCAAGGCGAUGAUACAUAGCCGACCUGAGAGGGGAUCCGCCCACUUGGGACUGAGAACCCGGCCCAACCCCCUCGGGAGGCAGCAGUAAGGGAUCCUCCGCAAUGGACGGAAGUCUGGCCGAGCAACGCCGGGGGAGGGAAGAAGGUUUUCGGAUCGUAAAACUCUGUUGGUAGGGAAGAACGGUGGUGGGAGUGGAAAGCUCAUCAAGGGACCGUAACUAACCAGAAAGGGACGGCUAACUACGUG
rnacentral:rRNA from 1 species